AUGCCCAGCUUGCUGGUUUGAUUAGUGGCGAACGGGUGAGUAACACGUGAGUAACCUGCCCCUGACUCUGGGAUAAGCGUUGGAAACGACGUCUAAUACUGGAUAUGAUCGCCGGCCGCAUGGUCUGGUGGUGGAAAGAUUUUUUGGUUGGGGAUGGACUCGCGGCCUAUCAGCUUGUUGGUGAGGUAAUGGCUCACCAAGGCGACGACGGGUAGCCGGCCUGAGAGGGUGACCGGCCACACUGGGACUGAGACACGGCCCAGACUCCUACGGGAGGCAGCAGUGGGGAAUAUUGCACAAUGGGCGAAAGCCUGAUGCAGCAACGCCGCGUGAGGGAUGACGGCCUUCGGGUUGUAAACCUCUUUUAGUAGGGAAGAAGCGAAAGUGACGGUACCUGCAGAAAAAGCACCGGCUAACUACGUGCCAGCAGCCGCGGUAAUACGUAGGGUGCAAGCGUUGUCCGGAAUUAUUGGGCGUAAAGAGCUCGUAGCGGUUUGUC
rnacentral:rRNA from 1 species